GGGAAGCAUCACCAAGCUGAGAUGUUUCCUGAUACAAUCUUCCUAGAGAAAACGUCUGUAUUUUCCUACUUGUGGUGGUUUAGUAAGUUCCACAAGUCUCAUUUUACAGAUACAUGA